AAUUUGGUCCUAGCAUAGAAAAACUCCAAAUCUUACAUUGAUUCAAGUACUGCAAAAUUCUUUCCAAAUGGAGAACUAUGUUGAUUGACCACAUUUAGCAUGUCAAAUUUCCCUGUCCUGUCAAGACACACCAUAAUGUUUUGGUCAUUCCUUACUCCCAUGAAUUUGCAUGUGAUUUAUAGAGGUUGAAAUACUAUAAAUUUGAUAAGCUUUAUCUUCUAUGUUACACAGUGUCUUAGCUCAAUGUCUGUUGCUAUAACAGAAAUCCUGGGAUUGGGUAAUUUAUAAUAAACAGACAUUCAUUGAGCUCAGAGUCCCGGAGCAAGGUAGUUCAAGAGCAUGGUGCUGGGUGAAGGAGGGCUUUCUUGUUCUGUCAUAACGUGGAGAAAGGGCAAGUGAGUGUGCAAGCCAGAAAGGGUGAACUUGCUCUUAUAACAAAUCCAAUCUUGUGAUAGCUAAUCCACUCCAAAAAUAACAACACUAAUCUAUUCUUGAGGGCUCCAGCCUCAUGACCCAAUCAUUUGUUAUUAGGCCCCACCUCCGAACCUUCUUACAUUGGAGAUUGUUUCCCACACUUGAAGUUUUGGGGGCCAAAUUCAAAUAAUAGCAGAAAGGCAUCCAGUUUCUCCAAGAUUUGAGUCAUAAUGAGAUAAAAUUUGUAAUGUAUUUUUCAAUUAAUCAUAAAAAGAAUAUAAUAAUGCAUGAUGUUUUCUUUGAAUAAACUAUUCGUAUAUACCUCAAAAAUGUCGAGGUCUUCCUCAAAAGGGAGCUUGCUAUUACAGUCUAUCUAGACUUGAAUGAGACAAAAGAAAAGCAAAAUGGGUCCUCCUUUGUGGAAAGACAAGGCAAAAGAAGAAGAGAGUUGAUUGCAUAAUGAAAAGGUAGUAUCAGAGUUUUUUAAUAUAACUGACAAAAUCUGAAUGCCUGCCUAGAUUUGAGUAGGUUGAAUAGUAUUUUUGCCUAGCAGGAGCACUUUAUGUUCAAGCAUAACUUUUCUUAAAAUUUGAGGAAAGAUAAAAAAUAUAUUCAUAAUUGAAUAUUUGUGGCAAUGAUUCUUAAAUAUAUACAUAGUGUUAACUUUUCUGUAAACUUAUCUAAAAUAUGAUGUUAAAUUUCUUGAACUUGUGCUACUUAGGGACAUACAAAGAUUAGCUUCUUCUUUCUCUAUGACACCAAUACAAUUUAUGACUGUCUUGAAAUUUACGUUGCCCAUCUGCAUUGGUUACCAACAGUCUUCUAGACAGGUUUAUCUAAACUGUUCCAAUCCCACUUGCAAUUUUUCAUUUUGAAUAUUUUCAACCAAACCACUUAAAAUUCAAAAAAAUCAUACUGUCAAAAUAAUAAUAAUCAGCAUGUUUGCUAAGCCCUUGUCUAUGCUGAUUCCAAACAGGAUCAUCUUAUAAUACAAAAUAUUCUUUACUUCAGGAGGCACAUGACUGAUGCCUGAUCCAAUGUCAGUGAGUUCUCCUGGUCCAGGGGUAAGCACAUGAAUUUCCAACUUUCUUGUCUUGAGAAAGCCAGAAAAGAAUAGCCUGGGCAUAACCUGAAGAAAUUUGAGAAAUUUCUCUCCCAGCUUCUACCUGGCUCCAGCUUUCAAGCCAAAAUCAGCUCCUGACUGUUCCAUCUCACUGCUAAACUAUUAUAUAAGGAGUGGAGGUUCUGGGACAAUUACAUUGCAUCCUUAUAAGACUAAGUCAGAGGAACAUAUGUCUAAUUAGAGUCUAUCUUAGUGCUGGCUGCUAUAACAAACUACAUUGGACUGGAUAAUUUAUAAACGACAGAAAUUUAUUGCUCACAGUUUUGCAGCCUGGGAAAUUCAAGACCAGCAGAUCGUCUGGUGAGAGCCUGACCCCCAUAGAUGAUGUUUUUGUGUCCUCACAUGACAGAAGGGGUAAACAAUCUCCCUUGGGCUUCUUUAAGGAGGACAUUAAUCUCAUUCACAAGGGUGGACCUCUUAUGACCUAAUUAUCCCCCAAAGGCCUAAAUCUCAAUAUUACCACAUUGGGAAUAGGGUUUCCACAUAAGAAUUUUGUGGAGACACAAACAUUCAGACCAUAGCAUUUCAUCUAAGUUCAAUUUUUAUUUUACUGCUUGAGACAAAAGGUACCUAACACAAGAAAGAAAAGGAUUUAAUCUGUAUAGAGUUAUCAUUGAAUCUUUUAAAUUUUUUACUUUCAAACAUAAGAUACUUAAUAGCUGACUCCAAAUAUACUAUUAAUUUUAUUUACUUUUGACUAAGUGAUAGUAAACACAAUAACAUUUGCAAAAUUGCCAGUAAACAGAUGCUAGUUGAAUUUUUUUUCUAUCUUAUCUUCUCAAGUUGAAGUAAAUUAAGAUAUCAUAUAGAGCAGUGCUUUUUAAUCUAAUUGAAGUAGAAGACUUUUUUUAUUUAUUUGUUUUCUUCUUUAAUUCCCAAUUGAUCAUAGACUAGGCCAUUUUUUUUUUUUUUUUUUUUUUGUAGAGUACAGAGAGAGAGAGAGAUAAUGUGCAUGUGCUUGGAUUUUACACUGAAAUCAUUCUAGAAAUUUCUAAAUGCUUCCUCUCAAAUUUUGUACUAAUUGUAUGACAGGCUAGUAGCAGUUUGUUGAUUGAUUGAAAUUGUGUAAUAUUAGAAAUAAUGCCAGAGAAUAUUGUAUUAAAAACUAUUUGCUCUAAAGCUUUUCCCUCCAAUAGCUCUAUGACACCUUGGAAUUCUCUAGUGAAGGCCUGAGUCUUAUUCGUUGUAUCCAUAACUUAAACUGAAAACUGCCUGAGACAUAGUAAGUUACUAAAAACUAUUAGUAGCUUGAAUAUAUAAAUUAAAUAAUCAAAGUAGUUUCAAAAUGCUCAAGAAUCCUGAACUUCCCUGCCUUGGGAGAACCAGUUACUAUGGUAUUAUAAAAAUGACAACAACAACAAAAGUGAAUAUAUUUAAUUACUUACCUCAAAUUCUAUAUACCUCAGGAAUACUUGGAAUUGAAUUAAAAUAACUUUCGGCCCUUAAAGGCCAUUUGUAGAUGAAGUGGGUUAACCUAGACUGUGAAAAUGGAAGGGCCUUAGGAUAAUCAAGCCUGUGUUAAUUCCAGUGGCAGACCCUCUUGUGGCACAUUCUAGCCUGAACUUUCACAGGACACUUCCUUUUCUUUCAAAUGGGCACACUGAUACUUACCUUGUGUAUUAGCCUGCUAGGGCUGCCAUAUUGGAGCAACACAUUUUUUUUUUCCUCUGACCAUGUGCAAUCGUGUUUGUCUCUCCCAUCUCAUAAGCAUACAAAUCUUAUUGGAUUAAGACCUUAUCUUAAAAAUCUAAUUUAACGUUAGUUACCUUCAUAAAGGCCUUGUCACUAAAUACAGUCAAAUUGCAGAUUACAGCUUCAAUUUAUGAAUUUUGGAGAAGGCUUUCAAUAUAGUUCACAACAGUUUGGUAAAUUGUUGUGAAAAGUUAGAGAUAAUCCAUAAGAAGCAUGUUUCAUAGUAUUCACUCCAUAUUGACCUGUCAUUAAGUUAUUACCAUUACUAAUGAAAUGUAUUGUUACACUAGGUAUUGGUUGUUAACCAAUGCAAAGUGAUGCAUUAUGUAUUUGCAAACUUCCUUAAAAACAAAUACAAUUAAAUGAGAGUUUUAAUAAAGUAGAAAAAUGUAAGUUUUUUCAAAAAGGAGUAAUAUCCAUGUUUACUCUAAGGCUACAUGAGAGUUGAGUACAUGAGAAAAGAACAUUAAUGAUACUAAUGAUAACAGCAAUGGUUUAAAUUGGCAGAUUUUAAAGGAUAAAGUGAUGGUCUAGGUUAUCUGAUCUCACAGUUAAUGACAUUGACAUCUUAACCUUGCCUUAACACAGUAGCAAGUAUCCAAACUCGCUGAAGAUUUAAUUUUUACCAAGUCUUUUUUUUUUUUUUUUUUUUUCAGAAACCAUCAUGAUUACUAAUUGACAAUCAUAUUUUAAUCAUGUCUUCAUAGUGGUUUUCUUAUGCAGCAUGAAUAAUUUCAUACCAUCUGUAUUACUCGACUUUCAUAACAAACCUCUGCCAAAGAAUUGAAAACUAAAUGUGCGAAUCUAUUCACUGCACUGAGCUCAUGCAUAAACUACAAGAGAAUGUUUGAGAAGUUAUCUAUGUAUUUGCGUAGGCUUUACAUUUUUUCUUUCAUUCUUUCUUGAGGCUUUUUACUCUGUCACUUUCCCCACCAACCACCAACAUGGCAAGUAGCUGCCUGGGCUCCUAGCUGGUUCCAUCUGUGGACCCUCUGUUUCAAAUUAUUUUUGACUUAUGAGUGGAAGGAAAACUUAAUGGUUUGCUCCAUCCUCUGCCCUGGAAUAAAUUUUUGUGCUUUGGGAAACUUUGCACCACUCUGGCAAUUUUCUGUUUCUUCACUCAAUAUAGGAUUCUAAUUGCGAAGGCCAAAAGCUAACACCAAGUAUCCUAGCAGAGUGGUGAGUGAGUAGUGAAAAAAUUACUUACCGAUAUAUAUAGUAGUUACUAUUCAGGGCUAUAUUAAUUCUUUCCUAUUUUGAGUACUAAAUUGACAUAGCUUUCAGAUGACAGCUGUGAUUGUCUCAAAAUGUGUUCGUUAUUACAUUUUGAAAUGAUAAAUCUCCCUCUUUCCUGAGGUAGAACGUGCUUCCAGUGCAUCUGUAGUGUUCUCAAAAAGCAGGAAGACAAUGCUCAGAGUGAAUGAACAGUGUUUAUAGAUCUAAAACUCCUUUGAGCUGUAAAGUACAAAGGAUAGAUAUUAUGAUCUAGUGAUAAAAGGAUCAAGUCCAGGGUUUCACCCAGAGGAUUUGGGGCAUAGAACUUAUAGAAACAUAAACCAAAGGACGCAGCCAAACAAUGUUAGGAGGAGUUAGCUAAGUACAGAAAAUUCCCUUAUGCAGAAUGUCUUCUGCUGAUUUUGUCCCCUAACUUUGCAGUUAUAGUCUCUCCCUACCCACUCCCUAUGCAAUAAAAAACCCUUUCCCCCAUAGCGAUUUUAUUCAAAGUGAUUCAAAGUGUUUAGCAUCAAGCAGAUACAGCUAAAUAUUUCCCUGACUACCUGGGUGACUUUGGGCAAGUUUUGUUUCUUUUCAGAGUUCAAGUGUUCCUAACUUGUACAAUAGUGAUGAUGAUAGGAUUUCUCUUCUAUCAUGGUAAUGGGAUCAAAUGGGUUAUUAUAUGGAAAGUGUUUACAAGUUUCUUAGCACAUAGUAGGUACCAAAUAGUGUCCAUAAAUACCUGCUAUUUUCAUGUGGAGAGAAACACAUAACUAUUUUUUUAAGACUUUAGCCUUUCUUUUGUCACCUGGAUCUAAGCUAUCUUGGUCCAAUGGCUUUAUUUUUCACCAGCGGGUCACUGCAUAUUCCUUUUGCCACAGAGUGUACAAUUGCUAUGAGCACUGGUUCAUGACUUCCCUGGGUAGUUGGAAUCAAGCUUCAAGAUGAGUGUAUCUAAUAGAUAACAGUAACUUUCAUUGCAACAGUCUCUCACUUAUAUAAGCUCAGAUAAAUGUCACUAGCACCUAUUCCAAGUUCCCAUAAAAAGGGGAAGCGGCAAUAGUAGGCUCUCCUGGUGAACAUUCUCAAGUGGAUCCAGCUAUACCUGACCCCUGCAUGUCUCCCCAUAGACAAUAGAACCUAUCAUGCCACAGGCAGCAACAAACUUUCUGCCUGAGAUCACAAAUGUGUUUCCUGUUUCUUCAAGACCUUUGUUUGACUCAUUAUGAUCAUCAUCAUUAUCGUCUUUACCAUCACCAUUAUCAUCAUUAGCAGCAGCAGUAGCAGCAGCAAAACCACCAUCACCAUUGGUACACUGUAAAAAAUGUCCUAUGCAUUGUGAAAAGAAUGGAAAUAUGUGACACUUUGUCUUUAUCUUCUAGGUGCUUAUAUAUUAGGUGAUAAUAACAUCAUAGUAAUAAGCCUUAACACGCAUGACACUGGUUCAAACCAGCUCGUGGUCCUCCAUCUCCAAUAUGUAACUGCCUAUUGAAACAGUCUACUUGGCUGCCCAACAGGCAAUGCAGAGCAUAUAAAGACAAAACUGAACACUUAGCCCUUUUCCAUCUCUCAUUCCUGGUAUCUUCUAGUUUCCUAUGUUAGUAAACAGCAUCCCUCUGCAAUUGAGUGCCCAUAUUCAGAAUUAUGGACAAUCCUUAAUUCCUCUAUUGUUAUAAUAUACAUUGACUAUAUCAGGAAGUGCUAUUAGCUCCAACCACAAAGUAUAUUUUGCGUUUUUUUUAAUUCCCUCCAUCUCUACUACGAUUACCCUAGCCUAAGUCAACAUCAUCUCCUGGUCUGACUCCCUGCUUCCAUCCUUCACUUACGACAUUCCAUUCAUUAUCUACUAUGAGAUAAUAAUACUUUUUUAAGAAGCCGUUAUAAUUAAAACAUAAUAAAUUGCCAUUACACUUAAAAUAAAAUCAAAAUUUCUGAUUUUCAUUGUAAGAUCUCAUGACCUGGCUCUUCUUACCAUAUUAAAUCUAUGUUUUAGGGGCUUCAUCUUUACUUAAAAAGUCUGGCCAGACUGGCUUCCUUUCUGUCUCUGAAUUGUAGAAAGCUCAUUCUCAACUCAGAGACUUUACACUUGCUAUUCCCUUUGUCUGAAUGCUUUCAUCUCCUUACCACCUAUCAGGGUCUUUCUCUUUCUGCAGUUGUGAGCUCAGAUAUUACCUUAACAGGAGAUCUCCAAAUUCCACCUUCCUGGUUAAAGCUGCUCUCCACUAUCUACCACAUCGGUCAUUAAAAUUUGUAAUUUUCUCUUCUCAUAUUCAUUUACUCUUUUUUUUUUUUUUUUUUUUUUUUGAGACAGAGUCUUGCUCUGUCACCCAGGCUGGAGUGCAAUGACUUGAUCUAGGCUCACUGCAACCUCUGCCUUCCAGGUUCAAGUGAUUCUCCUGCCUCAGCCUCCCGAGUAGCUGGGAUUACAGGUAUGCACCACCACACCUGGCUAAUUUUUGUAUUUUUAGUAGAGCCGGGCUUUUGCUAUGUUGACAAGGCUGAUCUCAAACUCCUCACCUCAGGUGAUCCAUCCACCUCAUUUAUUCUUUAUGGCAGUUCUCCUCACUAGAUUGUAGGCUCCAUGGAGAAAGGGACUUUGUCUGUAUUAUUCAUGGUUAUAUGUCCAUUCUUAAUAUAGAUAGUGCUCAGGAGACAGAAAGAAAAAGAGAAGCCAAAUGAUGCUAAUAUAGGGGAUUUGUCCCUCAUCAAUGAACAUAUAUGUUCUUAGGACUUACAUAGUGAUACGAUUUCCAUAUUAGACAAAAUCUACUUCUUUAUAUAAAUACACUAUUUUUUAAAAAUACCCAGGGAUUAGUAUAUUUCCUUUGACAUCAGCAUUUAUUUUAUUUCUACAGUACAUUAUCCACCUGAAUUGAAGAAGCAGAACCAGCCAGAAGAGGAAACACUGUAAUAAAAUUAAGAUCUGGACUCUAAUUCUGUUUUAUUUUCUCAACGUAUAAACCAUGAGUAAAUUGUUAAUCUUAAAAGAAAAUGUUUUUCUUCCAUUGUUCCUUUGUAAAGUGGACAUGAUCACACCUGUGUUCAGAAGGAACUGAUUCAGAGCUUGGUGCUGAAGGUAACAAAGCUAUCUGUGUUUGAUCAAGAUUCAAACCCUCAAUGUCUGAGAAAAGCAUCAUAUUCUUUAUCCAAGUGGACUUUGUAUAGAUGCAACAAAAUAUUCAUUCAAAUAUUUUCUAAAGUGCCAGGUCGCUUGAAGUUUACUUAUACUACUAUAGAUUUUAAGCUGCAUUUCACUGUAGAUAAUGCAAAGACAAUUAAAAGAACAGACAAUAAGCAGAUAAAGAGGCAUUAUUUUAUUACUAUGAAAGUUAAUAUGUCAUUUGUCACUGAAAUAGACAUGUCUUUAAUUUGCUUGGCAAAAGAGUGAGUAUAAGGUCUGAAUGUUUAAUCUCCCUAAAGUGUUCAUCACAUUGCAACAGAUUUAAUCUAUUCUCCAUCCAGAAAGACCACCUACAAACAAAGCAAUUACAAUUUGUUGUUUUACAGAUAAUAAAAUAAUUAGGUAUGCCAAGCAUAGGAAAGUAUGUAAUUUUACUGCCGUUUGUAAAAGAUGAUUAGAAGGAAUGCUCCACGGGCACUUCAGAAUUAAUUGAGAGGAACCAGGUACAGAUUUGAUUACUGGUAAUGCUUUUUGGAAGAAUCAGGAAUUUAGAAGCUAUUAAUAAUGAUUGUAAAGAUAAAGUUGGAGAAAGACGUGUUACAGAUGGGAAAAAGUUAUUGUUUUGCAGGGAAGAGUACAGAAUCACCCUUUAUGAUGCUUUGAAAUUCAGUCUAUCUUUGGUUUGGUAUAGAAAUUUGCAGAAAAUAGGUAACUAAAGAUACAUCAUAAGCAGGUUAACAAAUAAUGAUGAAACUGAAAAAACAUUUAUAAUGCUAAUAUUAUAACAACAACAAUUAUUAAUAUGGAGAAAACUACCAAAAGAGGCUGAAAUAUAAGGAGACAUCUUUUUUGGCUUAUUUUGUUUUUGUGUAAUGACCUGAACAAAUUCUCUUUGUAAUUUAAGUAGAAAUAAAAGCUUUAAAACCCUCUGAGGAUAUUUUAGUAGAAUCCUUCAAUGUCCUCCAAAAUCCAUUCUUUAUAGGCAGUAACAGUAUUAAAAAAAAUCAGUUUUCUAGCUUGAAAUACCUAUGGUAAUACUGUGGAUUAUUUUUAGUCAAUUCUAACUGAUGUUAUUUUUGAGAACAUAAAAGAAGUUUAUUGUGUGAUAAAAUUGGAAACCACAAGAUAUGUAUUAUGUCAGAAAGUGAUGGCAGAUAAAUGUCUGAUAAGAAUAUCUAUUAUAAAGGGAGAUGGAACUGAAAUAUAAUAGACAAGAGCCAUUUAAGAAAAUAAAUUACAUCUUAUUCAACAUUUUUGUGGUCUACCUCUUUGCCUCAGAUAUUAUAUGCUCUAUUUCUGUUCAUAAAAUGUUAUUUAAUGCAGUAUAAAGGUUCUCAUCUACCAUUCUAUAUUUUUUUGCAUCACAGCACAAUAUUAUCUGAAGACUGCCUGCUGAUAGGAGAGCAUGUUCAUUCAAUUUUUUAAGCAAUAUUAUUUUCUUUCGGAGAUAUGCAUAAAGAAGAC
rnacentral:lncRNA from 1 species